GACGAACGCUGGCGGCGUGCCUAAUACAUGCAAGUAGAACGCUGAAGAGAGGAGCUUGCUCUUCUGGAUGAGUUGCGAACGGGUGAGUAACGCGUAGGUAACCUGCCUUGUAGCGGGGGAUAACUAUUGGAAACGAUAGCUAAUACCGCAUAACAAUGAGUGACACAUGUCAUUUAUUUGAAAGGGGCAAUUGCUCCACUACAAGAUGGACCUGCGUUGUAUUAGCUAGUAGGUGAGGUAACGGCUCACCUAGGCGACGAUACAUAGCCGACCUGAGAGGGUGAUCGGCCACACUGGGACUGAGACACGGCCCAGACUCCUACGGGAGGCAGCAGUAGGGAAUCUUCGGCAAUGGGGGCAACCCUGACCGAGCAACGCCGCGUGAGUGAAGAAGGUUUUCGGAUCGUAAAGCUCUGUUGUAAGUCAAGAACGAGUGUGAGAGUGGAAAGUUCACACUGUGACGGUAGCUUACCAGAAAGGGACGGCUAACUACGUGCCAGCAGCCGCGGUAAUACGUAGGUCCCGAGCGUUGUCCGGAUUUAUUGGGCGUAAAGCGAGCGCAGGCGGUUUGAUAAGUCUGAAGUUAAAGGCUGUGGCUCAACCAUAGUUCGCUUUGGAAACUGUCAAACUUGAGUGCAGAAGGGGAGAGUGGAAUUCCAUGUGUAGCGGUGAAAUGCGUAGAUAUAUGGAGGAACACCGGUGGCGAAAGCGGCUCUCUGGUCUGUAACUGACGCUGAGGCUCGAAAGCGUGGGGAGCGAACAGG
rnacentral:rRNA from 1 species